CCUACGGGGUGCAGCAGUAGGGAAUUUUCCACAAUGGGCGAAAGCCUGAUGGAGCAACGCCGCGUGGGUGAAGAAGGUCUUCGGAUCGUAAAACCCUGUUGUUAGAGAAGAAAGUGCGUGAGAGUAACUGUUCACGUUUCGACGGUAUCUAACCAGAAAGCCACGGCUAACUACGUGCCAGCAGCCGCGGUAAUACGUAGGUGGCAAGCGUUAUCCGGAUUUAUUGGGCGUAAAGGGAACGCAGGCGGUCUUUUAAGUCUGAUGUGAAAGCCUUCGGCUUAACCGGAGUAGGGCAUUGGAAACUGGGAGACUGGAGUGCAGAAGAGGAGAGUGGAACUCCAUGUGUAGCGGUGAAAUGCGUAGAUAUAUGGAAGAACACCAGUGGCGAAAGCGGCUCUCUGGUCUGUAACUGACGCUGAGGUUCGAAAGCGUGGGUAGCAAACAGGAUUAGAUACCCGAGUAGUC
rnacentral:rRNA from 1 species